AUAACCGCUAAAUCGUAUGUUUCUGUGGUGUAGCAGGUGCAUAUGAUAUUCGGAUGAAAUAAUCAAAGAACAAUACUCGGAGAUCGGACCAAUGCGGAGGCCUGUGGUAGUUAUGUGCCUAUCGUGAAUAGUGUGAAACAGUGGACCCCUGGAUCAAACCGUCUAACCAAGAAAAACCUUAAAAGACCGAACCGUGCUCUGCCUCUACCCUGCUCGCCGCUAACAGUGGUGCAACAGCAGAUCCCGUAUAAAAAGGGGCGCAAGGACACCGCUGAUAGUGUUUUAGCUCCAGAGAAUUAUAACUUGGUUCUCCAGGCAGUUAUAAACCCACAAAUCGCGCAGCCAGGGACCGUAUGGUCUGAGUCCAAACAACAAGUGGUCGGGGCGGUGGAUGUGCAUGUGUCUGCGCCGCCUGCAGAGACCGUUACUGCACAGCCGGAUGGAUGCAUUCAGCAUGUCCUUGGUGACCCUCAGUAUGCACCACUACCAGAACUGACCGAUGAGGAUAUCGAGGCUCUCGCCGACAUUCCGUUGUGGCCCUCAGCGCUGUUGGAACAGCUCGACUUCACUCCAGCUCAGUGGAUAGACCCUCCAGCUACUUCCGUAGGGGGUACCGCCAGGGCAGAACCUGUAAACCAUCAGCCUGCAGCCCCCGCCUCUGGAUCACGACCCAUCAUCCAGGCCUCUAUUCACGAUCCGCCAGGCACUGUGAGUCCCUACGCCUACGGGGCAGUGGCUACGCUCCUACCUGUCGGUGCAGCGGUUGCUGGUGAAUACAUUGCGGGUGGGCCAUGUACCAAAUGUUGUAAGGAUUGUGCUGAUAAAUUAACCGUGGUAACUACAGCGGCUGAUGUAAAUGCCUUAACCAUUGGUCGUCAGUGUAAACUGGGUGCAUUGUCUGUGAAACGUAAUGACAUCAGAUUUCAGGCUAUCGAAGAGCAAACGAAGCAGUCACUCAAGACACUCGGGGCAAUCAAGGCCGAGAUAGCGCGUGAUCGUCGUGCUAUUGCAUCCCAGAAAGCCGCGCUAGUGCGUUAUGGUCUGGCUAUAGAAUCAAUACAGCAGAAGAAUUUGGCAGUCGAGGCAGCAGUGCGUGUUAACACUCUGGCUUUGGAUAGGGGGCCUAAGAUAUCUAAUAUAGCUCGGAAAAUAUGGCUAAUUGAAGAUACGGCGCAGGAUAACAUCAGGGCCUACAAGGCCCUGUCUGCCCGGAUGACUGUUAUGAAUAAUGCACUGGAUAAGCUUACGAUGAAUCGUUAGUAUUUGAUUUGUGGUUUUGGGGUGUUAUUUUUAUUUUUUGUUUGUUUGCUUUUUUCGUUUAUUCUGUGGAGAGGGUAAUUUUUUUUGUUUUAAACUGAACGCAAUAAAACUUUUUUCUUUUAAUAUCUGACUAACUUUUUUUUUUUUUUUUUUAUCUAUCAGCAUAAAAACUAUAGCUGAACACAAUGCAUAAAGCUAUUAGCCCCAGAAAAAGGAAAUUCAAAUCUGUAGAUGUAAAUCCCAAGAGACGGCGUAGAUCUGAUAGCGGGGGUAGCAUUAUGGAUGUAGAACUUGAAGAGAUGGCAAUGAGGUAUGAUGCAACCGGCGAUACGUCUCAUUUGCUGGCUGUAGGACGUGUGGGGGGUGGGGGGAUGAGUGCUGAAGGUGGUUUAGACAUGCGGGAAAUACGCGCCGACAUAGCUAGAACUAGACGUGUGUUAAUUGCUGCUGAUGCAUGGGGGGGGUAGAAUGACGGAUGCACUAGAAAGGGCUGCUAUGAUAAAUGUUUCGAACGAUCCAUGUGUAGAUGGCGGGGAGGUGUGUGUGGGGUUAGAUGUCCCCGGGGAUUUAGACACACGGGAUGUGUUGUAUGCGGCGGCAUACACCAGAGAUGUACUUAACACUGUCGAUGGGUGGCUGGCUAGUGCACAAGAGAGGCUAGACAUAGCCGCUCAGAUAGACAUAACAUCGUCGAUAGAUGUAUCGCAUGUGUCGCAACGUGACGAAGGGGAUGGUGAGGGUUUUCAGGAACCCCUGGCUGCUGCAGGGGGUAGGACUGG
ensembl:lncRNA